rnacentral:rRNA from 1 species
UACGUAGGGAGCGAGCGUUGUCCGGAAUUACUGGGUGUAAAGGGAGCGUAGGCGGGAAUGCAAGUUGGAUGUGAAAACUCCGGGCUUAACCCGGAGACUGCAUUCAAAACUGUAUUUCUUGAGUGAUGUAGAGGCAGGCGGAAUUCCUAGUGUAGCGGUGAAAUGCGUAGAUAUUAGGAGGAACACCAGUGGCGAAGGCGGCCUGCUGGGCAUUUACUGACGCUGAGGCUCGAAAGUGUGGGGAGCAAACAGG